rnacentral:misc_RNA from 1 species
GUAAUGCGAUAAGUAAUGUGAAUUGCAGAAUUCAGUGAAUCAUCGAAUCUUUGAACGCACAUUGCGCCCGGCAGCAAUCUGCCGGGCAUGCCUGUCCGAGCGUCAUUUCUGCCCUCGAGCGCGGUUCGGCCCCUAGCGGGCCGGCCGCCGCCCGGUGUUGGGGCGCUGCGGGCCCUCGUGCCCGCAGGCCCUGAAAUGAAGUGGCGGUCCCGCCGCGGCGCCCCCUGCGUAGUAGUAAAGCACCUCGCAUCGGGUCCCGGCGGAGGCCAGCCGUCGAACCUCUCUUUUGAUGGUUUGACCUCGGAUCAGGUAGGGUUACCCGCUGAACUUAAGC